rnacentral:rRNA from 1 species
CCGGCGACCGGCGGACGGGUGCGUAACGCGUAUGUAACCUACCUUUGACAGGGGGAUAACAUCGAGAAAUUGGUACUAAUACCCCAUAACAUCACCGGAGGCAUCUUCGGUGGUUGAAAACUCAGGUGGUCAGAGAUGGACAUGCGUUGUAUUAGCUAGUUGGUGAGGUAACGGCUCACCAAGGCGACGAUACAUAGGGGGACUGAGAGGUCAACCCCCCACAUUGGUACUGAGACACGGACCAAACUCCUACGGGAGGCAGCAG